UACGUAGGUGGCGAGCGUUGUCCGGAUUUACUGGGCGUAAAGAGCGCGCAGGCGGCCAAGUCAGUCGAAUGUGAAAGCCCCCGGCUUAACUGGGGAGGGUCAUUCGAUACUGCUCGGCUCGAAGACAGGAGAGGGAAGUGGAAUUCCCGGUGUAGUGGUGAAAUGCGUAGAUAUCUGGAGGAAUACCGGUGGCGAAGGCGGCAUCCUGGACCAUAACUGACGCUGAGGCGCGAAAGCUAGGGGAGCAAACGGG
rnacentral:rRNA from 1 species